GGAAUUGUCCUCACUUGGUCAAGCUCUGCUGUGGAUGCCUGGUCCCUGGAAGUCAGACUGAUGGAGCCACUGGGUCAGGGAAGUCAGUGUCAGGAGGGCCCUAGAGAGGCAGGCAACAGGAGUUCCUGGCUGAUGUUUCCUGAAUGGGAGAAUGGAAGCGCAGAGAUGAAGAUCACACAGCUAUGUGGUGGAGUCGGGGUUUAUACAAAGGCAGUGUCUUAAACAUGAUACCAAAACAUAGCCGGAUGCUGGGCAGUAGGUGAGAUCUCCGCAUGCUUGUAGCACAAAGAAUUGGGAUUUUGCUGGGAUCACAAACAUGAAUAUGAUAAACAUACCAUCAACAACUUGAACUCAUUCCAGUGAAGUGGUCUGGAACUGAACCCACAGGAUCUCGCAGAUAUGCCUAUAUUAGGAUGAGAAGGAACAAAGAUGAAUGCUACCCUAUGGGAACUAUAUACUCAAUUCUUUGGGAAUUGUGAUUUGCAGCUCUUUAAGUGAAUCUAGAAAUCUGGUUACUGGAUAAAUUAUUAAAUAAUUUCAUUCCUUGUGUAUUAAAAAUUCAACAUUUACCAAUGAAUAGUUUUCAAAUAUAUUAUAAUAUCUUUCUCAACUAUCUGUUCUAAAAUAAAUGUCUACUUUCCCUUUGAGUGUUUCAAAAUCACACUUUAGUCUAUUGUGUGUAUAUAUAUAUAAACAUACACACACACACACACAUAUAUGUAAGAUAUAUUAAAGAACUUUGAGAACUGUUUCUUGGCCCCUCAGAAACAUCAGUGUCAUAAUAAAAAUCCAACUCUUUGUAAAAGGCACUGAUUAAUAUAGCUUUUUCCCCUUAGCUACUGAAUGAUUUAUCAACUAUUUAUUGGACUUCAGAAAGGAGUUCAUAAAAAUGGAAAAUAAUAAUUAAAAUCCCCUGAGGGUUAUUAGUUACUAGUUGACUUUCUUGAACCCAUUACCUUACAUAAUAAAAAUUAUCCCUACACUGUAUGUCUCUCUGUAAUCUGUUUGAAUGCUUAUACUUACACAGUUAAUCUUUUCUAAGUAAUAAUCUCAUGUUAUGUUUUUAUUCUGUUAUUCUCAAAAAUAGAGCAGAGAGCAGGAAACUUCUAAUUCUGAAUCUGUUAUUACAUAAAACCAUUUGUAAACCUC